rnacentral:rRNA from 1 species
CAGCCGCCGCGGGAAUACGGAGGGUGCAAGCGUUAAUCGGAAUUACUGGGCGUAAAGCGUGCGUAGGCGGUUCGUUAAGUCUGUUGUGAAAGCCUCGGGCUCAACCUGGGAAUGGCAAUGGAUACUGGCGAGCUAGAGUGUGUCAGAGGAUGGUGGAAUUCCCGGUGUAGCGGUGAAAUGCGUAGAGAUCGGGAGGAACAUCAGUGGCGAAGGCGGCCAUCUGGGACAACACUGACGCUGAGGCACGAAAGCGUGGGGAGCAAACAGGAUUAGAGACCCCCGUAGUCCCUGUCUCUUAUAC